GCCUCAACCUCCCAAGAUGCUGAGAUUACAGGUGUGCACCACCUUACCUGGCUUCAUUCCAUAUCUUUAAAUGUUUAAAAUUAUUUCCAUUAUAUGCACUCUGAAAAAAAGUAUUUUCUCUCCACAUAUUUUCUUCAAUAACAGAGAACUGAUGAUCUUAAUAUUCGCAAUUUAAAAAAUUCUAAUGCAGACUUUUAGAGUACUUACCUAGCAUUAAAAUUCCAAAGCUAAAAUAAUCAAAUACUAAUAGUUGUGUAGAAGACCAACUUGGACUGAGUGAAGACAGGAUAUCUCGUGUCAUAGCCACCUUCAGAUAUACUCCAGAUUGGGGGCAGGGAGCAGAAUCACCUACUCUGUCCAAAAGCUGUUGCUGAUUGCAGAACAAAACCCACAAACCAUAAUUCUAUAGUUCACUUUAUAUCAUUUCAAGUAUAAAAGGUUUUAUUUUAGGGAAUGUAUAUAAAUGUUCUAUCAUGUGAGAAAAAGGUGCUUUUCUCCUGUGACAAAAAAAACACUUCAUGACCUAUAGAUCUGGAAAAACUUAAUUGAGCCCUCUAAGAGAAGAUAUAAUGCUAACCGUCUAACUUUGGUAUUAAGCUUUCCAAGGCUCAGAUCCAAAACACCGUCACAGAGUCCUGUACCCAUACUUAUUGCUUCCCACCCAAACAAAAUUGUAGACAGAAGUUGCUCAGCAAGUAAGGUUUUUUGGAGAGUACUCUGCUCUGGUAAAAUAAAUAAUACUUGCCAACUAUUUCUCAUCACGUUCAACUACAUGUAGGUUUUCCUAAAAAGAAUCAGUAUAAAUACUAAGCAUUUCAAGAGUUUUAUGAUAUGGUACUGAACUAUCUUAAUAUUUUAUUCCCAUUUUCUCCCUUGAUGUCAAUAUUUAUUUGGGUCUGUAUUUGAGGAUACUUAAAUAAUCAUUCCUCAAGUCCUUCAUAAAACUCGGAGAAAGUUUGAUGAUGCAUUCAUAAUGCAAGGGCUCCAGCUUGAUUUUUUAAAAAUCCUUAUAACUACUGAGUCCACACAUUUUUGUGAACAUUUCCUUCAAAAUUAUCCCAUCAAAGGGGACAUGGAAGAACCACAAUCACUUUUUAUAGAAAACAAGAAAUAUGAGAAGCAGGUAGCCUCCAUCUUCCUAGCGUUGUCAAAAUUAGUUCUUGAAGUUAAUUUCCAAUCUGACUCAUUAGCAGCUUUCAAUCAACUUUAUGUAUAUAAACAUAUAUGAAUAUGUAUAUAUAUACGCACACACACAUAUACACACACCUAUAUAUAAAGUGUGAUUUUCCUGUACUCUAUAGUUGACUUAUUAUAUAGUAUUAAGGAAAUAAAAAGUAAAGGCACAUUAACCAAUUAUAAUUAAUUAUAAUUAAUAUGAUACUCAUAUCAAAAGCUUAAAAAUAUAUCAUAGAAAGAAGUAAUCAUUUAUCUCUUAUCUUUUCUCAAUUCUCUAAUUUUUCUUUUUUACAUUGAAUAUGUAACACUUAUGGGAUUUCAGAUAUUUUUUAAAGCACUUCUUCACAGUGAGCUGUUUCAAAUAUAAUUCAAUCAUUUAAUGUGUACUUUGAGUGCUGGCAGUAUGCCCAUACUGCAACAGGCUCCAGGGAAUCACGUAUUAUUUGUAGUCUCUCUAAAGGAACAGUUUUCAAAAUGUGUUUAUAGUUAACAUAAGAAAAAUGAAAAUUAGUAAAGGAAACAGUCGGCCGCUAUGAGUAGAAGUGGCAUUAGGCUUUUCCUAUAAACCUUCUGGGGUAGAUUUUAACUGAAGGGAGGAAAUUUCCAAGAUGUUUGUCUCCAUCCAGGUUGAUCUGAUCAGCGUGAGACAGCAAGGUCCUACUACAGGGUAUGGAACUUUUGAACAAAGAGGAAUGUGGGCACACACAGGGGAGAUUCUGGAAUUAAUUGCCAAAUGGAGAGGAAAAAGCAUUGAUCCAAUUUAAAAUUAUAUCAUGGGAUGGAAAAGGAAUCUAAAGAAACAGAAUUUCUAAUACAGAGGUUCAAGGUGUCACAGGAAGGCUAAGGCAUGAAGAGACAUGUUCCUAACCACAUGGGCUGAGGUACCUAUGGCGUCUUCGGGCGGCAGAUCCACUGUGUCUGUGUAGAGGUACUGGAGAAAGGCACGAUACACGGGGUAAGAAAACUGGUCUAUUUCUAUCACCUCCUUCAUGUCCUCAUUCCAGUAUGAGUGGAACAUGGAUCGAAAGUGCUCACACCUAAAACACAUUAGCAAAAAUUACCUGAGGAAGGUGAUGAAGUCAGACAAACUGGUAGAAGAGCACUACUGUUUCAACCUAACAACCCCUUUCUGAUCAAGUUUUUUGGCUCAUUGGCUAUUUUUAAAAAACAGAGUAUACAGAAGUGCAUUUUAAAUAAUGAAAAUAAAUAAAUAAAUAACUCAGAAAUGAGAGUUCAAAACUUUUGGCUACAUAUUAACAUCAUUGAAAUGAUUAAUUUUUAAUUUUAUGUAAUCAAUUGACUCUUAAAAGGAGUUUAAAUGUUAACUGAUUUGUAUUAAGCUGAUUACUGAUCCAUUAUCUGACAGGAUAGUUUUGGUUUUUUUUCCUUUCCGACUUCUCUCCAAGCAACCAUCACUCUCUAUUUGUUUCUCUGAGUGGCCUGCUCACUCUCUUUCCUUCCCUCCCAGGCCUGCCAUAAAUGUAUCUAUAAAACACAUUCACUAGCACAGUCACAUAUUUCAAGAAAACCCAAGCAGGUCUUUUUGAUUUGUAUUUACAGAUCCACCUGCAUGAGUAACUGAUUUCUUUUUUUUUUUUUUUUUUUU